UGCUAGACCCGGCCUGUCUACGCGCCUUUUAUCAGCCCAACAAAAAAGCGUAGGACUGUCUGAUAAACAGGGUCAAGGUGAUACUAGCGCGCUUAUCUUUGCGACUGCCCAACGUUUGUUCAUUCAAAAUGGCUUCAGUAGCGAAACAAGUACUGCUUCGCUUGACCGCUCAGCCGACCCGUCGGGCUUUCUCCACCACCCAGGGGCUUAAGAGUUCAGGGUGGCAGCAACAUGGGGUUGUCGGUUCGAACCUCCCGUUUCGUAUCGAUAAUCGCUAUCGACUGGCAGUAGUGUUCGUCUUGUUUUUCGGUACGGGUUUCAAUCUGCCCUUCUGGGUGGUGCGUCACCAGCUCACCAAGAAAUGAGUUCGUCCGGGCCGUAAUACAGCCAUUGCAGACAUAUCGUUUCGUGACAGUGUGUGUUGUGUGUGACGUGACAACUUGUAAACAAGACAAUAAUUAAUACAGAUCAACAGAAGAUCUCAAACUAGUGUUUCGUUUAAACAUCUUCUUUCAUUAAAGUGUUUAUGACUUA